UGAUCCAAAAAGUGAUUCGUGGUCAACUGUGGCACCUUUGAGUGUUCCUCGUGAUGCUGUUGCAGUAUGCCCCCUUGGAGACAAACUCUAUGUGGUUGGCGGAUAUGAUGGUCAUACAUAUCUGAAUACUGUUGAAUCAUAUGAUGCUCAGAAAGAUGAAUGGAAAGAGGAAGUCCCUGUGAAUGUCGGGAGAGCCGGAGCAUGUGUUGUAGUUGUGAAGCUACACUGAAACUCUCAUUGGCUAAUACAAUGGAAUAGAAUUAUCUCAAGAAUGAAGAAGAAAUAUUCUCUUUUCAGAAGUUGAUAGCAGAUUCAAAUGCUGUUGUGUUGUUUUCACGUGUAGUUGAAAUUGUUAACAUUCAUAAGGCUGAAAAAUGUGGAUUACAUGUUACUGUUGAGUAUAUGUGCUGUCUCAGCUUAUAAUCUAAUGCAAAAUCCCAUGGGCUAUCUUUAGCCUCAUUAGCAUAAAAUGUUAAAGUACCUAACAAACAUUUGGCAGUGGGCAGUAUUUGAAGGUGAUGAAUGCAUUAACAGUUUUCGUGUAAGGGUCUAGGAAGUAAAAACAUUUUCUAUUAAAGGUACUCUACCAUCUGGAAUAACUUAAUAAAAAAGAAUGACAGAAGCUUUAAAGCAUACUGUCUUGUUUCAAACAAUAGCUCACCUAGCUAAUAAUACCUUACAUAUGCCAAGAAGAAAGUGUUUUCUUUGUCAAGCAAGAAACAGGUCAUUCAAUGAUAUAAUUUCCUAUACUAAUUACACAAUGUCAAACUUUUCACAGGCUAUUAUUUUCAGUUAACUUCCUGAUAAAAUAUGUAUAUAAAUUUUCUAUCCCAUGACAUGGUGUGUUGAUAGAUUCAUUUGCAGUAAAGUAUCAUAAUGUUGCAUAUACAAUCUAUCAUCUGUAACAGUGAAUAUUAUAUUGUUACAAACUUUGCCUGAGGGCCUCAUUGUACAGAAGUUUAUUCUCUCCUCAAGCAUUUAAUAUUUUCUCAAUAAACACCUUCCAUUAUGUUAAAAUUUGAUCUAAACAAAGUUAAAAUUGAGAAUAUGAUGCACAAUAUUAACAACAGAAACACUAAAAGUUUAACAUACAGAGUCAAUUCUAUAAUUUCUCUAUACCUAUCUAUACCUAAUCUUCUUUUAAUUUCAUAAUCAUGUUUACCUAGCAGUAAAUAGUAAAGACACAUGUACUACAAAACUACACUUUUGAAAAUAAAAAUAAAAGAGUAUUUGAGUAUUACUUUAGCUUUUAUUUUAUUUUUAUUUACACUACUUAAAGAUAAAACAUUAUGGUGAAAUAUUGAAAACUCAUGUUUUUGAAGUUAACUUUUCAAGUAAAUGUUCAAUUUUUGAAUUUCUAUAAUACUUCUCAUAAAUGAACUUUCUGUUUUAGAAUAUCAAAACAAAGAACAAAAUCCAGAGUGAUGCUUAUAAAAUGCUACUUACUACCUAUUUUUAUUUUUAAAUCACAGCAUAUGUUGAAAAAAGGUAUUUGUACUUUGGCAAAUUGAAUUUAAAUAAAAUCUUUUCCCUCUGA